rnacentral:rRNA from 1 species
GGUGACUAUAGCGCGGGGGAACCACCUCUUCCCAUUCCGAACAGAGAAGUUAAGCCCCGCAGCGCCGAUGGUACUGCCCUCGUGGUGGGAGAGUAGGUCGUUGCC